rnacentral:lncRNA from 1 species
UACUAGGCUAGUGUAGUUUAUUUAAUAUCAUUGGAAGUUUUUGUUAUUGUACUUAAUAUGGGAGUGAUUCGUUUGAAAUGCCACUUAGACACACCCUCUUCAGCUAACAUAGGAUAUGAGCUUCAAUUCCAGAAACUCUUAGGCAUUCACCAGUGCAAUCAAGGCAUCAGUUGUCAGAGCAGGCCAUUUGUGCAGCCAACAUCAAAUUAUCCAGUACUCGCUAUGUUCCAGGCACUCUGCUUUACUUUCAUUGCCUUGUCCUCCAGGAGCUCACAGUCCACUGGGGAAGAGAAGCAGUUAGCAAAGCAUUCUAAUACAAUGUGGAAAGUCGAUAAUAGAGAGAGGAAUAAAGCGUCUUGGCUACAUUAAGAAGGGAAUACUAACCCUGCCUGAGGGAGCCUAGAAGGACUUCACUGAGGAAAUAACAUAUGCAUUAAUCCUUGAAGAAUGAGCAAUAAGUAGCCUACCAGGCAGAUAAUUUCAUUUAAAAAAAAAGAUUUUAUGCAUGGAGAGAGAAACACCAAAAUUAUGAAAAUGCAAGAGAGAAUAGCAUGUCUGGAGACUAAUAUCCUACAAACUUCAUCACAUGGUGAUGUGAAUAGUGAAAGAGAUUAUAGGAUUCUUCAGACUUCUGAUAGUGUCCAGAUUACUUCCAGUUGUAAGUAAUUUCCAGCAGAAUCUACAGCAUUUAUUCUCAGAACAGGAUGUGG